GAUGAACGCUGGCGGCGUGCUUAACACAUGCAAGUCGAACGGUGAAGCUCCAGCUUGCUGGAGUGGAUCAGUGGCGAACGGGUGAGUAACACGUGAGCAACCUGCCCCUGACUCUGGGAUAACAGCCGGAAACGGCUGCUAAUACCGGAUAUGCACCAUGAACGCAUGUUCUGUGGUGGGAAAGAUUUUUCGGUUGGGGAUGGGCUCGCGGCCUAUCAGCUUGUUGGUGAGGUAAUGGCUCACCAAGGCGUCGACGGGUAGCCGGCCUGAGAGGGUGACCGGCCACACUGGGACUGAGACACGGCCCAGACUCCUACGGGAGGCAGCAGUGGGGAAUAUUGCACAAUGGGUGGAAGCCUGAUGCAGCAACGCCGUGUGCGGGAUGACGGCCUUCGGGUUGUAAACCGCUUUCGCUCAUGACGAAGCUUUGUGUGACGGUAGUGGGUAAAGAAGCACCGGCUAACUACGUG
rnacentral:rRNA from 1 species